rnacentral:rRNA from 1 species
GUAAUGUCUGGGAAACUGCCUGAUGGAGGGGGAUAACUACUGGAAACGGUGGCUAAUACCGCAUAACGUCGCAAGACCAAAGAGGGGGACCUUCGGGCCUCUUGCCAUCAGAUGUGCCCAGAUGGGAUUAGCUUGUUGGUGAGGUAACGGCUCACCAAGGCGACGAUCCCUAGCUGGUCUGAGAGGAUGACCAGCCACACUGGAACUGAGACACGGUCCAGACUCCUACGGGAGGCAGCAGUGGGGAAUAUUGCACAAUGGGCGCAAGCCUGAUGCAGCCAUGCCGCGUGUAUGAAGAAGGCCUUCGGGUUGUAAAGUACUUUCAGCGGGGAGGAAGGUGUUGUGGUUAAUAACCGCAGCAAUUGACGUUACCCGCAGAAGAAGCACCGGCUAACUCCGUGCCAGCAGCCGCGGUAAUACGGAGGGUGCAAGCGUUAAUCGGAAUUACUGGGCGUAAAGCGCACGCAGGCGGUCUGUCAAGUCGGAUGUGAAAUCCCCGGGCUCAACCUGGGAACUGCAUUCGAAACUGGCAGGCUUGAGUCUUGUAGAGGGGGGUAGAAUUCCAGGUGU